rnacentral:rRNA from 1 species
UACGUAGGGUGCGAGCGUUGUCCGGAAUUAUUGGGCGUAAAGAGCUCGUAGGCGGUUUGUCGCGUCUGCCGUGAAAGUCCGGGGCUCAACUCCGGAUCUGCGGUGGGUACGGGCAGACUAGAGUGAUGUAGGGGAGACUGGAAUUCCUGGUGUAGCGGUGGAAUGCGCAGAUAUCGGGAGGAACACCGGUGGCGAAGGCGGGUCUCUGGGCAGUAACUGACGCUGAGGAGCGAAAGCGUGGGGAGCAAACGGG